rnacentral:misc_RNA from 1 species
GAUGAAGAACGUAGCAAAAUGCGAUAAGUAAUGUGAAUUGCAGAUUUCAGUGAAUCAUCGAAUCUUUGAACGCACAUUGCGCCCGCCAGUAUUCUGGCGGGCAUGCCUGUUCGAGCGUCAUUUCAACCCUCAAGCACAGCUUGGUGUUGGGACUCGCGUUAAUUCGCGUUCCCCAAAUUGAUUGGCGGUCACGUCGAGCUUCCAUAGCGUAGUAGUAAAACCCUCGUUACUGGUAAUCGUCGCGGCCACGCCGUUAAACCCCAACUUCUGAAUGUUGACCUCGGAUCAGGUAGGAAUACCCGCUGAACUUAAGCAUAUCAAUAAGCGGAGGA